rnacentral:rRNA from 1 species
CACACUGGACUGAGACACGGUCCAGACUCCUACGGGAGGCAGCAGUGGGGAAUAUUGCACAAUGGGCGCAAGCCUGAUGCAGCCAUGCCGCGUGUGUGAAGAAGGCCUUCGGGUUGUAAAGCACUUUCAGUCGUGAGGAAGGUAGUGUAGUUAAUAGCUGCAUUAUUUGACGUUAGCGACAGAAGAAGCACCGGCUAACUCCGUGCCAGCAGCCGCGGUAAUACGGAGGGUGCGAGCGUUAAUCGGAAUUACUGGGCGUAAAGCGCAUGCAGGUGGUUUGUUAAGUCAGAUGUGAAAGCCCGGGGCUCAACCUCGGAAUAGCAUUUGAAACUGGCAGACUAGAGUACUGUAGAGGGGGGUAGAAUUUCAGGUGUAGCGGUGAAAUGCGUAGAGAUCUGAAGGAAUACCGGUGGCGAAGGCGGCCCCCUGGACAGAUACUGACACUCAGAUGCGAAAGCGUGGGGAGCAAACAGGAUUAGAUACCCUGGUAGUCCACGCCGUAAACGAUGUCUACUUGGAGGUUGUGGCCUUGAGCCGUGGCUUUCGGAGCUAACGCGUUAAGUAGACCGCCUGGGGAGUACGGUCGCAAGAUUAAAACUCAAAUGAAUUGACGGGGGCCCGCACAAGCGGUGGAGCAUGUGGUUUAAUUCGAUGCAACGCGAAGAACCUUACCUACUCUUGACAUCCAGAGAACUUUCCAGAGAUGGAUUGGUGCCUUCGGGAACUCUGAGACAGGUGCUGCAUGGCUGUCGUCAGCUCGUGU